GCCCGUUUGGCUUAGUGGUACAGCGUCUCACUCGUAUAACACACGAUAUGAGAAGAUCCGCGGUUCGAUUCCGCGAAUGGGCA
rnacentral:tRNA from 1 species